rnacentral:rRNA from 1 species
UACGAAGGGGGCUAGCGUUGCUCGGAAUCACUGGGCGUAAAGCGCACGUAGGCGGAUUGCUAAGUCAGGGGUGAAAUCCUGGAGCUCAACUCCAGAACUGCCUUUGAUACUGGCGAUCUUGAGUCCGGGAGAGGUGAGUGGAACUGCGAGUGUGGAGGUGAAAUUCGUAGAUAUUCGCAAGAACACCAGUGGCGAAGGCGGCUCACUGGCCCGGUACUGACGCUGAGGUGCGAAAGCGUGGGGAGCAAACAGG